rnacentral:tRNA from 1 species
GAGCACUUCGCCCGCUGGAUAGGGCGUUUGAUUUGAGAUCAAAAGGUCGCGGGUUCGAAUCCCGCAAUGUUCACCA